UUGUAGGCUGCAACUCGCCUACAUGAAGUCGGAAUUGCUAGUAAUCGCGGAUCAGCAUGCCGCGGUGAAUACGUUCCCGGGCCUUGUACACACCGCCCGUCACACCAUGGGAGUCGGUAACACCCGAAGCCUGUAGUCUAACCGCAAGGGGGACGCAGUCGAAGGUGGGAUUGAUGACUGGGGUGAAGUCGUAACAAGGUAUC
rnacentral:rRNA from 1 species